GGAUGUGAGGGCGAUCUGGCUGCGACAUCUGUCACCCCAUUGAUCGCCAGGGUUGAUUCGGCUGAUCUGGCUGGCUAGGCGGGUGUCCCCCUCCUCCCUCACCGAUCCAUGUGCGUCCCUCCCGAAGCUGCGCGCUCGGUCGAAGAGGACGACCUUCCCCCCCGAGGAGAGGACUGGUCUUCGGUCAAGGGUAUACGAGUAGCUGCGCUCCCCUGCUAGAACCUCCAAACAAGCUCUCAAGAAUGUAGUGAUUUAGCCCUAACCGGUUUGGCUCAGUGGAUAGAGCAUC
rfam:Myotis lucifugus cont2.27670, whole genome shotgun sequence.